ensembl:lncRNA
CACAGUUUCUGGAGUCCCUAGAUAAACUUGUAUGUGUCAUUUCCAAAAGUUCUUGAGAGCUGGCGUUGACUUUGCAGAAACCUUAGAAACGGGGAUGAAGCUACUAAACCACGGGACAUCCCUACGGAAACCCCAUGGAGGCCACCAAGGUACAGACUGCAGGAACUGGUUUGUGUGCUCUCUACCACAUGGGCACAUGCCCUGUGAACUAAUUUGGAGAACUGUAUUCAUCGUUUGGUGGGCAGGAUUGGAAAGAUCUCCAGGAUACAUAAACUCCCUGUCACUCUCAGAGGUCCUCCCAGCUAUGCAGCUGCCUGUCAUGGAAUACAUGGUAAAAUUCCUCUUACUACCCAUUCCUUGUACUCAGAGAAAUGUUAGGCCAAGAUCCACAAAUG